CUCCGUACGACGUUUACAUUUUAUCUCGCGUUCAAAGAGUAUUGUAUUGAAAAGAAAAAUUUGCUUGAAAUAAAAAUAUUUUAAACUGUGUCUUCAACAAUAAAAAAUUAGUCAAUAGUUUUUAAACGAAAGAAAACAAAUACACAAAAAGCAGUGGCUGUUGCAAACACUCUAACACCAAAACCGUGUUUCCAAAAAAUGGUUCGAAAGAAAUCUUCCGGCGCUCAAAACCGUGCUAAAGCUACUAUAAAAGUAGCAGAAGAAGC